rnacentral:rRNA from 1 species
CUAAGGGCAUAUGGUGGAUGCCUUGGUACGAGAAGCCGAUGAAGGACGCGACUACCUGCGAAAUGCUACGGAUAGGUGGAAAUAACCUAAGACCCGUAGAUCUCCGAAUGGGGCAACCCAUCUCGAGUAAUGUUGAGAUAUCUACAACUGAAUAAAUAGGUUGUGUGAAGGCAACCCAGGGAACUGAAACAUCUAAGUACCUGGUGGAAAAGAAAACAAUAGUUAUUUCCUUAGUAGUGGCGAGCGAAAAGGAAACAGUCUAAACCAUUUAACGUGUUAAAGGAAGCAACCGUUGCGUUAUUGGUGUUGUGGGAAUUGAUCUGACUGAAUUGCUAAUAAGUCGAAGAGUAAAAAAUUAUAUUUCUAGCCGAAUGUUCUGGAAAGUUCAACCAUAGAAGGUGAUAGUCCUUUAGGCAAAAGUUAUAUAACUCUUUGGAUCAGCCUCCCAAGUACCACGGAAUAAGUGGAAGUCUGUGGGAAUCUGCCAGAACCAUCUGGUAAGACUAAAUACUCUCUCGUAACCGAUAGCGCAUAGUACCGUGAGGGAAAGGUGAAAAGAACUCCUAUUAGGAGAGUGAAAUAGUACCUGAAACCAUAUGCUUACAAGCAGUUGGAGCUUCGAUUUAUCGGAGUGACAGCGUGCCUUUUGGAUAAUGAGCCUACGAGUUACUCGUACNNGAUCUACCCUCGUCCAGGAUGAAGUGAGGGUAAAACCUCAUGGAGGUCCGAACCAGUAUGGGUUGAAAACCGUUUGGAUGAGGUGAGGGUAGGGGUGAAAGGCCAAUCAAACUCGGAAAUAGCUCGUAUUCCCCGAAAUAGCUUUAGGGCUAGCCUCGGAUAAAAGUGUAACGGAGGUAGAGCACUGAUUGGGCUAGGGCCGUCACAACGGUACCAAACCCAGACAAACUCCGAAUUCCGUAUACAUGUUUUCCGGGAGUCAGGCCACGAGGGAUAAGCUUCGUGGCCAAAAGGGAAACAACCCAAACCAUCAACUAAGGCCCCCAAAUGAUAGUUAACAGAGAAAGGAUGUUGAGUUGCUCAGACAACUAGGAUGUUGGCUUAGAAGCAGCCAUUCAUUUAAAGAGUGCGUAAUAGCUCACUAGUCAAGCGACUCGGCGUCGACAAUACUCGGGACUUAAACUAUCUGCCGAAGUUAUGGAUUGCUGAUUUAUCAGCAGUGGUAGGGGAACAUUCUAUGUGCACUGAAGGUGUGGUGUGAACCAUGCUGGAGCGCAUAGAAAAGCAAAUGUAGGCAUAAGUAACGAUAAGAUCGAUGAAAAAUCGAUCCACCGAAAAUCUAAGGUUUCCUGAGCAAUGUUAGUCAUCUCAGGGUUAGUCGAUCCCUAAGCCGAGGCUGAAAGGCGUAGGUGAUGGAAAACAGGUUAAUAUUCCUGUACCUGGUAAAAAUCAUUUGACUGUAAGGAGGGACGCAGAAGUGAAGAUCAGCCACCUGAUGGAUUAGGUGGUCUAAGCAAGUAGGCUGAAAGUGCAGGCAAAUCCGCACUUUCUUAAGGCCGAGAUGCGAAUGGGAUGGCUUUGCCAAUAAACUGAUCGUAAUCAUACUGCCGAGAAAAUCUUCGUACAGAAGAGUUUUAUCAGAUCGUACCGCAAACCGACACAGGUAGAUGGGAUGAGUAUUCUAAGGUGCUCGAGUGAGCCGUGGUUAAGGAACUCGGCAAAUUAACCCCGUAACUUCGGGAAAAGGGGUGCCCCAAGUAGGUGAAAUUAAUUCUAAUUUAGCUGAAAGGGGCCGCAGUGAAAUGGCCCAAGCGACUGUUUAACAAAAACAUAUGUCUCUGCGAAGUCAAUCAAGACGAUGUAUAGGGACUGACACCUGCCCGGUGCUGGAAGGUUAAGAGGAGUGGUUAGCCGCAAGGCGAAGCUAUGAAUCGAAGCCCCAGUAAACGGCGGCCGUAACUAUAACGGUCCUAAGGUAGCGAAAUUCCUUNNNNNNNNNNNNNAGGUGGGAGGCUUUGAAGCCGGGGCGCUAGCUUCGGUGGAGCCAACGGUGAAAUACCACCCUUGUUUUAUUUGGAUUCUAACCUCGGCCCUUGAAUCAGGGUCAGGAACAGUGUUAGGCGGGUAGUUUGACUGGGGCGGUCGCCUCCUAAAUUGUAACGGAGGCUCUCAAUGGUUCCCUCAGCAUGGUUGGUAAUCAUGCGGCGAGUGUAAAGGCAAAAGGGAGCUUGACUGCGAGACUUACAAGUCGAGCAGGUGCGAAAGCAGGACUUAGUGAUCCGACGGCUGCGAGUGGAAGUGCCGUCGCUCAAAGGAUAAAAGGUACGCCGGGGAUAACAGGCUGAUCUUACCCAAGAGUUCAUAUCGACGGUAAGGUUUGGCACCUCGAUGUCGGCUCAUCGCAUCCUGGGGCUGAAGAAGGUCCCAAGGGUUUGGCUGUUCGCCAAUUAAAGCGGUANNAAGCGGUACGUGAGCUGGGUUCAGAACGUCGUGAGACAGUUCGGUCCCUAUCCUAUGCGGGCGCAGGAUACUUGAGAAGGGUCGCUUCUAGUACGAGAGGACCGAAGUGAACGUAUCUCUAGUGCACCAAUUGUCACGCCAGUGGCAUAGUUGGGUAGCUAUAUACGGUUGUGAUAAGCGCUGAAAGCAUCUAAGCGCGAAGCACGCUUCAAGAUUAGGUAUCCCUUACGUAAGUAACUAAAGACUCCUCGGAGAUGACGAGGUUGAUAGGCUAUAGGUGUAAGUGCAGUAAUGCAUUCAGCCAAGUAGUACUAAUAGGUCGUGAGGCUUAUCC